AUUGAACGCUGGCGGCAUGCCUUACACAUGCAAGUCGAACGGCAGCACGGGUGCUGGCCCCUGGUGGCGAGUGGCGCACGGGUGAGUAAUACAGCGGAACAUGUCCUGGAGGGGGGGAUAGCCCGGCGAAAGCCGGUUUAAUACCGCAUACGAUGUGCGGAUGAGAGCGGGGGACCUUCGGGCCUCGCUCUAUAGGGUUGGCCGAUGGCUGAUUAGCUAGUUGGUGGGGUAAAGGCCUACCAAGGCGACGAUCAGUAGCUGGUCUGAGAGGACGACCAGCCACACUGGAACUGAGACACGGCCCAGACUCCUACGGGAGGCAGCAGUGGGGAAUUUUGGACAAUGGGCGAAAGCCUGAUCCAGCCAUGCCGCGUGUGUGAAGAAGGUCUUCGGGUUGUAAAGCACUUUUGUCCGGAAAGAAAUCCUUGGCCCUAAUACGGUCGGGGGAUGACGUUACCGGCAGAAUAAGCACCGGCUAACUACGUG
rnacentral:rRNA from 1 species